GCCUGGAUGGUGUAGUGGUAGCAUUCGCGCUUCGGGAUCUUCUCCUAAACAUAAAUAUUGCAGAGCUUGUCUGUGCGAGGUCCUCGGUUCAAACCCGAGUUCAGGCC